CAGGAUACCAACUAGAUGUAGCUACCCUUCAGCAUAAGCACUGUUUGAUUGCAGUGUAAAUACACCAAGACAGACAGAUUAAAUGGUCACUGAUGCAUGCGGAUUUUCUAGGAGACUAGAAGGAAGAAAAGAGAAUUUAGAGCACCUAGCUAUGGCCUUGGAAAAGGGGCUCAAUCUCAUGGAACACCAGUGUCCUGACCUGUGAAGUGGAGCUGAGAUGGGCAAAGUAGUAUUAGGGUAACAUUGCACAGGACAGCUGUUGAAUGAUUCAAGAUUU